CAUACCUUUACAUGGGUCAAUGAUCUCUACUGCUGAUGAUUUGAUAAUUCGAUGAGGUCUUCAUUCAGACCGCACAUGCAUUCUGCCUCUAUGAGUAUCCACAUGAAGCCUUCAGUCCAAUCAGAGGUCUAUAUCUUCACCGUGGUGCUGGCUCUCUUGCAGAAGAUGUCUCCUGACAGUUGAUACUAAUUUUCUCCACCAUUUUCUCUUAGACCCUC
rnacentral:lncRNA from 1 species